GUUGUCACCUCUAGAAGCUAGAAGAAAGGGAUGUGUUUCUCAGCUAUGUUAGGGCAGAGGAUUCUGGGAGCAAGGAGUUGGGCUUGCAGGCCUGUGUUCUUCCCUGGCCACACCCUCUACAUCUUCCCAAUAAAUGGCCCAGUGUCACAGAACAGGCAGGAAAUGAGGCCCCAACUCAGUCUGCUUCCUGAGUUGGGGGUGGUGAAGGGCAAGGUCCAGCCUUAUGAUUCCCACUCCCCAGGGCCAGCCAAGUCUCGGGAUGGUGAACGUACCGUCUAUUGCAACGUACACAAGCAUGAACCCCUUGUGCUGUUUUGUGAGAGCUGUGAUACUCUCACCUGCCGAGACUGCCAGCUCAAUGCCCACAAGGACCACCAGUACCAGUUCUUAGAGGAUGCAGUGAGGAACCAGCGCAAGCUCCUGGCCUCACUGGUGAAGCGCCUUGGGGACAAACAUGCAACAUUGCAGAAGAGCACCAAGGAGGUUCGCAGCUCGUAAGUGUGGGUUCUGGGGGCCAUGGGAGUGGCCCAGGGCAGCAAGACCCUACCUAGCCUGACCUGAUCUGUCCCCUAGGAUCCGCCAGGUGUCCGACGUACAGAAGCGUGUGCAAGUGGAUGUCAAGAUGGCCAUCCUGCAGAUCAUGAAGGAGCUGAAUAAGCGGGGCCGUGUGCUGGUCAACGAUGCCCAG
rnacentral:sRNA from 1 species